rnacentral:lncRNA from 1 species
CAAAAAACAAAUUUUAAGUUUAUUAGACCACAUUCAUUCUGUGUCAGAAACCUAUGCUGUGUCAACUAUUUAAUCACAAUCCAAAUUUAGAGCUGAAUCCAGCUUGAAUGUUGUGUCCAUACUUGCCCCAACCGUUCAGGGUUCAACCUCUGCGGUCGUAUAAAGCUGCGCCCUGCGGAGCAUCUGGUUUAUGUUAUGUUC